UGGGGAAUCUUGCGCAAUGGGCGAAAGCCUGACGCAGCAACGCCGCGUGGGGGAAGAAGGCUUUCGGGUUGUAAACCUCUUUCAGGGGGGACGAAGCCACCGGGGUUAAUAGCCCACGGGGUGACGGUACCCCCAGAAGAAGCCCCGGCUAACUACGUGCCAGCAGCCGCGGUAAUACGUAGGGGGCAAGCGUUGUCCGGAAUCAUUGGGCGUAAAGCGCGUGUAGGUGGCUUGGUAAGUCCGGUGUGA
rnacentral:rRNA from 1 species